UCUCUGAUUCAGCGGCGGACGGGUGAGUAAUGCCUAGGAAUCUGCCUGAUAGUGGGGGACAACGUUUCGAAAGGAACGCUAAUACCGCAUACGUCCUACGGGAGAAAGCAGGGGACCUUCGGGCCUUGCGCUAUCAGAUGAGCCUAGGUCGGAUUAGCUAGUUGGUGAGGUAACGGCUCACCAAGGCGACGAUCCGUAACUGGUCUGAGAGGAUGAUCAGUCACACUGGAACUGAGACACGGUCCAGACUCCUACGGGAGGCAGCAGUGGGGAAUAUUGGACAAUGGGCGAAAGCCUGAUCCAGCCAUGCCGCGUGUGUGAAGAAGGUCUUCGGAUUGUAAAGCACUUUAAGUUGGGAGGAAGGGCAUUAACCUAAUACGUUAGUGUUUUGACGUUACCGACAGAAUAAGCACCGGCUAACUUCGUGCCAGCAGCCGCGGUAAUACGAAGGGUGCAAGCGUUAAUCGGAAUUACUGGGCGUAAAGCGCGCGUAGGUGGUUUGUUAAGUUGAAUGUGAAAGCCUCGGGCUCAACCUGGGAACUGCAUCCAAAACUGGCAAGCUAGAGUAUGGCAGAGGGUGGUGGAAUUUCCUGUGUAGCG
rnacentral:rRNA from 1 species